rnacentral:rRNA from 1 species
UACGUAGGGGGCGAGCGUUGUCCGGAAUCAUUGGGCGUAAAGCGCGUGUAGGCGGCCCGGUAAGUCCGCUGUGAAAGUCCAGGGCUCAACCCUGGGAUGCCGGUGGAUACUGUCGGGCUCGAGUCCGGAAGAGGCGAGUGGAAUUCCUGGUGUAGCGGUGAAAUGCGCAGAUAUCAGGAGGAACACCAAUGGCGAAGGCAGCUCGCUGGGACGUGACUGACGCUGAGGAACGAAAGCUAGGGGAGCAAACAGG